GAUGAACGCUGGCGGCGUGCCUAAUACAUGCAAGUCGAACGAAGGUAAGCAAUACCUUAGUGGCGAACGGGUGAGUAACACGUAGGUAACCUGCCUUUCAGUUGGGGAUAACCGAGGGAAACUUUGGCUAAUACCGAAUUCGUGCUUCGAAGGCAUCUUCGGAGCAUAAAAGGGGCCUUUAAAGCCUCGCUGAUUGAUGGACCUGCGGCGCAUUAGUUAGUUGGUGAGAUAACAGCCCACCAAGACGAGGAUGCGUAGCCGACCUGAGAGGGUGAUCGGCCACACUGGAACUGAGACACGGUCCAGACUCCUACGGGAGGCAGCAGUAGGGAGUUUUCGGCAAUGGGGGAAACCCUGACCGAGCAACGCCGCGUGAGUGAUGAAGGUCUUCGGAUUGUAAAGCUCUGUUAUAAGGGAAGAACGGCAGCUAGAGGAAAUGCUAGCUGUUUGACGGUACUUUAUGAGAAAGCCACGGCUAACUACGUG
rnacentral:rRNA from 1 species